CAGUCGACGGUAACAGGAAGCAGCUUGCUGCUUUGCUGACGAGUGGCGGACGGGUGAGUAAUGUCUGGGAAACUGCCUGAUGGAGGGGGAUAACUACUGGAAACGGUAGCUAAUACCGCAUAACGUCGCAAGACCAAAGAGGGGGACCUUCGGGCCUCUUGCCAUCAGAUGUGCCCAGAUGGGAUUAGCUAGUUGGUGGGGUAACGGCUCACCAAGGCGACGAUCCCUAGCUGGUCUGAAAGGAUGACCAGCCACACUGGAACUGAGACACGGUCCAGACUCCUACGGGAGGCAGCAGUGGGGAAUAUUGCACAAUGGGCGCAAGCCUGAUGCAGCCAUGCCGCGUGUAUGAAGAAGGCCUUCGGGUUGUAAAGUACUUUCAGCGGGGAGGAAGGUGUUGUGGUUAAUAACCACAGCAAUUGACGUUACCCGCAGAAGAAGCACCGGCUAACUCCGUGCCAGCAGCCGCGGUAAUACGGAGGGUGCAAGCGUUAAUCGGAAUUACUGGGCGUAAAGCGCACGCAGGCGGUCUGUUAAGUCAGAUGUGAAAUCCCCGGGCUCAACCUGGGAACUGCAUCUGAUACUGGCAGGCUUGAGUCUCGUAGAGGGGGGUAGAAUUCCAGGUGUAGCGGUGAAAUGCGUAGAGAUCUGGAGGAAUACCGGUGGCGAAGGCGGCCCCCUGGACGAAGACUGACGCUCAGGUGCGAAAGCGUGGGGGAGCAAACAGGAUUAGAUACCCUGGUAGUCCACGCCGUAAACGAUGUCGACUUGGAGGUUGUGCCCUUGAGGCGUCGCUUCCGGAGCUAACGCGUUAAGUCGACCGCCUGGGGAGUACGGCCGCAAGGUUAAAACUCAAAUGAAUUGACGGGGGCCCGCACAAGCGGUGGAGCAUGUGGUUUAAUUCGAUGCAACGCGAAGAACCUUACCUGGUCUUGACAUCCACGGAAGUUUUCAGAGAUGAGAAUGUGCCUUCGGGAACCGUGAGACAGGUGCUGCAUGGCUGUCGUCAGCUCGUGUUGUGAAAUGUUGGGUUAAGUCCCGCAACGAGCGCAACCCUUAUCCUUUGUUGCCAGCGGUUAGGCCGGGAACUCAAAGGAGACUGCCAGUGAUAAACUGGAGGAAGGUGGGGAUGACGUCAAGUCAUCAUGGCCCUUACGACCAGGGCUACACACGUGCUACAAUGGCAUAUACAAAGAGAAGCGACCUCGCGAGAGCAAGCGGACCUCAUAAAGUAUGUCGUAGUCCGGAUUGGAGUCUGCAACUCGACUCCAUGAAGUCGGAAUCGCUAGUAAUCGUGGAUCAGAAUGCCACGGUGAAUACGUUCCCGGGCCUUGUACACACCGCCCGUCACACCAUGGGAGUGGGUUGCAAAAGAAGUAGGUAGCUUAAC
rnacentral:rRNA from 1 species